AGCGAACGCUGGCGGCAGGCCUAACACAUGCAAGUCGAACGAACUCUUCGGAGUUAGUGGCGGACGGGUGAGUAACACGUGGGAACGUGCCUUUUGGUUCGGAAUAACUCAGGGAAACUUGUGCUAAUACCGAAUGUGCCCUUCGGGGGAAAGAUUUAUCGCCAUUAGAGCGGCCCGCGUCUGAUUAGCUAGUUGGUGAGGUAACGGCUCACCAAGGCGACGAUCAGUAGCUGGUCUGAGAGGAUGACCUGCCACACUGGGACUGAGACACGGCCCAGACUCCUACGGGAGGCAGCAGUGGGGAAUCUUGCGCAAUGGGCGAAAGCCUGACGCAGCCAUGCCGCGUGAAUGAUGAAGGUCUUAGGAUUGUAAAAUUCUUUCACCGGGGACGAUAAUGACGGUACCCGGAGAAGAAGCCCCGGCUAACUUCGUG
rnacentral:rRNA from 1 species